rfam:Triticum aestivum genome assembly, contig: Triticum_aestivum_CS42_TGACv1_scaffold_021597_1AS
GUGGACAUCAUGAUCCUUUCCCCGGAUGAUCAACAAUGAACAUGUUGAGCGCUAUAAUUUCUCUUGGGAGAAACCAAGCCAGGACUCUGAUCUGC